GAGAAAACCUAACCCUAAUUUAUCCCUUUCCUCAGCCUUUGAAACACGCAGUCCCACCCCCUUUCUUCCUAAACCUACACAGAAAUGGAAAGGAAAAUCAUACAAGGAAAGAAAGGAAAUCAGAUUGUGAUCCAAGGAAGGAGCAGAAGGAGACGCCGUGGCCACGUAGCCGCCGUCCCGUCGCAAGGGAAGACCAGAGCUGAGGCAGAGAGUAGCGCCCAGAGGGAGAGAGGCCGACAUCAUCAUUGUUCGUACUCACCGGAGGAAGCUGUCGUAAGCCUCUUCGCCGUCAUCGUUGUCGUCAUCCUCAUGAGCUGUAGCGCCGCGCAGCCCAGCCACCGGGACCUUCGCGGAGCCCGCGUCAUUACCGCCUUUGAGAUCUUCAUCGUCACUGUCACUGGAGGUCUGUGAAGAGAGGGAAGAUUCCACAGCCAUGGCACUGUCACGCCGUCACCGCCGUUACCCUGGAGCUUGCCGUCGUCAUCGAGCAGGACGCAGAUGAGAACGACGCGAGGGAGAGAUUGUGCGGGCCUGAGGAGCUGCCACGGUCCUUACCGUUGCUGCCAUGGUCACCAGUGAGUCGUGCACCGCCAUCAGAGUCCAAAACAGCACUAGCCUUCUUGUUCUGAUUCUGAUUCUCCUAUUCUUGAACCUGUGAUAGUAUUAAUGAUACUUAAGAAGGGUUAGAGUUGCUGCUGCUGCUGAGAUUAAUAAAGAGGGGAUCAUCACAUUUAAAUUCAACGGGUUCAACUAACUGAGACACUUCAGAGCAGUCAUGGUUUAACGAGCUUGAUCAAAAUGUUGUUGCAACAAGUUAAUCCUGGUAUUAGUGCAGAACAAGUGCAAGUAAUGUUAGAAGCUGCCCAACAAUCUCUGCUUGAUGCAAGUAGUGCACCAAAUGAUGCGAGGCAAAGCAUUCCUCCUUUACUGGGAUCGAACCAUGUGUCAAAAGAUAUGGAAGUGCUGAGCUUUUAAAUGGUAAAGUGGCUGAAACAAAAGUUCUCGAGCGUUGAGAAGAAAGAAUAGCAAUACCAGAAACAAUCUAUUCUAGCAGAGUCUAAGUUGUAUUGCUCUAACGCUUGUGGAAUAAUUCUGUUAAUAGUGUCUAUUUAGUGUUAGUGUAUAUAUCACUGUAUAAAACUAAGAUUGAGAUAAGUGUAUUCACUCAACUAUAUUGAUAUAUUAGCUGGUUACUUUAAUUACAA